rnacentral:lncRNA from 1 species
CAGGGGCUACACAAACACAACUUCAAGGCCCUGCUCAUACUCAAGCAUAUCCUCCAUCCUCCGGCUUUCUUCCUAAUCCUUCAAUGCCACCACUUCCCUCUCCUAGAAUGAAUGGCCCGCCACCACUUCCUUCUCCUAGAAUGAAUGGCCUGCCUCUCCUCCCAUCGCCUAGAAUGAAUGGCCCGCCUCUCCUCCCAUUGCCUAGAACAAAUGGUCCACCUUCUCUCCCACCCCCUCGUAUGAAUGGUCCACAUCCUCCUUUCCCAUCUCCUAGGAUGAAUGGUCCGCCUCCACCACUUCCAUCUUCGGGAAUAAAUGGGCCAACUUUUUUGCCUUCACCCA